UACGGGGGGGGGCAAGCGGUUGUUCGGAAUUACUGGGCGUAAAGGGCUCGUAGGUGGCCAACUAAGUCAGACGUGAAAUCCCCAGGCUCAACUUGGGAACUGCGUCUGAUACUGGAUGGCUUGAAUUCGGGAGAGGGAUGCAGAAUUCCAGGUGUAGCGGUGAAAUGCGUAGAUAUCUGGAGGAAUACCGGUGGCGAAGGCGACAUCCUGGACCGGUAUUGACGCUGAGGCGCGAAAGCCAGGGGAGCAAACAGG
rnacentral:rRNA from 1 species